CCACAUCUCUAGAGGCAGGCCAUGGGAAGGUGGAAUCACCUGUGUGCCUCACCGCUCUUAUUCCAACAAAGCGUGACCCGCAGAGAUAGAAAAGCUGUCCACUUUCCUCUGUAACCGAUUCUACCCAGGAAGACGCUAUUUACCUACCAGGAGCCCUUCCGGAGCCACACCCGCUCAGUCGGAGCUACAGAAGCGCACCAAGAUUAUUCAUUCCCCAACAAUAGGGAAGAGUUCCAGGUCAAAGCAGAAAACUGGCCCCUCACACAAAUGGAGGGACAGUCUCAGCUCUCUCGUGACAUUAUCCAUCCACUGAGGAGAAGCCUGAGUCUCAGGAUGCUACAAGGCUCUUCUGAGAGCCAGACAUGUCUGGGGACAUCCCUAGCAGCCUGGGAGGAAUCCUGGGACUGACACUUAAAACACACCAAUCUGUCUGCUGCUGAGUGAUCAGACAUCAUCGGAUUCCCCCCACUGCACCGGGACAUCUCAGACUCAAGUUGUUUCUCCUUGAAAUAAAAGAAGCAUUCUUGUGCUUAUCGCUGUGA